AGGAGAAACAUUGUAUGUACUUCCUUUUCUCUGGUGUCAGAGUUAGCCCUUCGUUCUCGUUGGUGGAGGAGCAAGGAGAGCCACACCUUUGUUGUUAUUGGUUGAGUGGAAGCUAAGAGAGAAGUAAGUCUGAAGCAAGCUUUCUUGAGCUCGUGCCUGAGCCUCUUACAAAUGAGCAGAGCUUUAUAUUCAUCACAAAUAUGGAUCUAUCUUAGGAUGAACUGCUAGACAAAUUCACCAAGUUGCCUUCCAUGCUUUGGACGAUAUGUGUCAUAAGCGACACAUUGUGUGCCAAUAUCUCAAAGGAGAUCGUUGUUUGGAUCAAGCAUGUAAGCGACCUGACCUUGAAAUCAAAGGAAGAUGCAUUCUUGUAGAUCCUCAAAAUGGAGAUUCAAUAGAGUAAAGGUCUAUCCAUCCACUCAAUGCCAGUCAAACGGAAAUGGAGAUAUUUUCAAAGGAGAAAGACUUGUUACAGCGGCUACAAACAUAAGACUGACAAAUGCAUUUGUCACAAGAAGAGGCAUUUUGCCAAAAUUUCCCUCAGAACAAGAAAGGAGUUCAUCUCAUCUUUGAUAUCUAGCAAUAGACUGAAAUUCUUAUGCAUCCUGAAGACGGACCCUCAGAUUGGAUGGUCUUGGCAUUAAAUGUCCCGGAUGAUGAUUCAAAGCUGUGUUAUCAUAUCUCUUUGGAUAUUCCAGCACAAGGUGCUGCACUCCCAAUCAUGAAGUAGCCUCAGAUAGUGGUUCAUGUUCUUCCAUCCAAAUAUGACAAACCAAUCCCAGUCAUUGCUUUUUUUGACACAGAAACUGCUAUGUCAAUGAUGAACUCGGAUAUCGUUCCUGAAGAACUUUGGGAGUAUGAAAAACAUCUAUUUUACACUGCUGAUGGAAGAUCUUUGAUACAAAGCUAAUCACUAAAUAGUCCGUUAUUGUCCAAAUCCUGAUUGCAUAGUCCAGACAAAGAUCAUUGCUUCUGAUUUAAUUAGUAAAGACAUUCUUGUUGGAUU